CCUAAGAAACCCCAGUCGCUCUCUCCCUUUGUGAGUCCUAAAGGAAAACUCCAUAUGGGGGGAGGAGGGAGAAGCGACAAUGCUUCUCCUCCCCCUCCUCUCUUCUCGUCUUUUUCUUUUAUGUUAGUGAAUAAGUCCACUGGGGCGUUUUGAAAAAAAGUCCCUUAUGGUGGUUUCUUUUGAGCACUGGUUAGAUUAAAGUUCUCCAUCACUCAUUUUAGUCUAUGUUCUCAAUCAAAUCAUACCAAAAUCCGCUCCCUGACGUCGCUCAUGUUCAUUAAAUUUGAUUCUACAUCGUCAUUGACAGAGGUAGAUCGUUGGAAAUCAUAUUUUCCCUAGAUCUGUUACGGAUGCGGUAGUGGGUGAGGCCGCGACGGUGCUUCAUCAGGUGGUGGUGACAUUCGGCUUCAAUGGGAGGGAUUCGAAACCCGUUGGAUGUACUUUCUGGCUGGAGGCAAGUCAAACUCCUAGCAGAGAUUAAGCUCACCUUUCGAGUAUUGGGACACCUCGUAAUAUUUACCAAAAAAUUAGACAUGUAUGGGACGUCGACCAAACUUGUCCCUAUCAUAAGUGGCACAAAACAUUUGGCUCAAGUACCUUAAAUUGACAUUUUUGUAUGUUUGUG